GACGAACGCUGCCGGCGUGCUUAACACAUGCAAGUCGAACGGACUAGCGAACGAGUGAGUAACACGUGGGUGACCCGCCCUGCACGGCUGAAAAAGCGUAGGAAACUGGGCAUAAGAAUGGAUAGUGUGGGAUGGGGCCGCGGCCUAUCAGCUUGUUGGUGGGGUAAUGGCCUACCGAGGCGGCGACGGGUAGCCGGCCUGAGAGGGUGGCCGGCCACAUUGGGACUGAGAUACGGGCCAGAAUGCUACGGGAGGCAGCAGCGGGGAAUAUUGCACAAUGCGCGAAAGCCUGAUGCAGGGACGGCGCGUGCGGGAUGACGGCCUUCGGGUUGUAAACUCCUUUCACCAACGACGCGGUAGAUGGAGAAGAAGCACCGGCUAACUACGUGCCAGCAGCGGCGGUAAUAC
rnacentral:rRNA from 1 species